rnacentral:rRNA from 1 species
GUCUACAGCCAUACCACCCUGAGCGCGCCCGAUCUUAUCUGAUCUUGGAAGCUAAGCAAGGUCAGGCCUGGUUAGUACUUGGAUGGGAGAACGAUGUGAAUUAUUGAAAAAAUGUGGAAA